rnacentral:sRNA from 1 species
AUGUACCACUCCUACACUGCGGUUCCUCCGCGCGAUCCGCACCUACCUGGCGAUUGCUUGCUACGUUUUAUUGGCC